GGAAAUGGUGUAGUGGUUUGAGUGCUGGACUACAACUCUGGAGAUCAAGGUUCAAUUCCCUGCUUGGCCA
rnacentral:tRNA from 1 species